GGAAAAGGUGGAAAAGAAAUUCUCAGAGAAAGAGACCAUCGACAAGAUUCCCUUCUUUUAAUUGGAUUCAAUUCGUUGUGGGAUAUGGGAUGAUGAGGCUUGCAUGCAGAAACGAGUGGAAAAAAGGGAAAUUAAAGAAAAAGAACAUAAAAAAGCAUGCAGCAGCAGAGGAAGAAGAAAGAAAGAAAGCGAGAAAGCUGGUGAAGAGCAUUCAAUAUUAAGCAUCAAAGCUUCAUACUAUUAUUAAUUUUAUUAUCAUGACAGAGCAUUAACAAUGACAUUGCAAAGAGUAGUGGCAGCCGAUCCCAUAAAACAACCGCAAUUAAAGUGAAAUCUAGGGAGGGGCUGAUAGUAACAGCUCACAAACUGCAUACCCUUCUUUCCCCUCCUCUGCAGCCCUAAAGAUAACAUUUAUAUUUGUAUAUUCAAUUUAUUUAUUAUUAGAAGAAAAAAGAAACUAACAAAAAGAAAAAAAAGGAAAGUUUCAGAGUGUUGUGGUCCUGACUGCCAAAUUUUUCUGAGAGAAAUCUCUGACUCACCUGGAUGGGAUGAUGCUGAUAUUUGUCCUUUUGCAUUUUGCUCUCCCCCAUUCAAUGCCGAAUAUGCCCAGAUUGUUGCUCUAAGGUUACCACCAAAAACUGCACCAGUUGCCCAUUCCCCUAGUUUCCCUUUACUGUUUCCUUCUUCGACUCUUCUUUCAGCCCUAUCUUUUGUCUUCACUCUCAAUCUUUUCCUUUUCACUCUUUUCUUUAACCUAUAGCACCUUCCUUUGCUUCCUCUUUCUUUUUAUUCUUAUAAUUACAAAUUGCAUGCACCCAAGGAAGUAAUUGAGGUGGUAAGGGA
rnacentral:misc_RNA from 1 species